UGUAUUUACAAGUUGAGAAUCUUCUUCGGCCGAUCGACCAGAAAGAAAGGAAAGUACUUCCAUGCAUGUUCAGUGAUUCGGGGCUAUCUAUGGAAGGUCCCGAUCCAUCUUGGUGCUGUUGCAUGCUCCUUUCGAUCCAGUCCUCUUUUCCUUUGUAUGUGAAUUAUGCAUAUGCUCAUGUCGAAAUGGUGAUGUGUAAUACACUAUUGAAUUGAAUUGAAGUAAACCUUUUUUAUCUGCAAAACAAAAUCCACAAGGUGCCUUGGUAGGCUCACACAACAACUUUCAUGUUCUAUGUAAAGUACUUGUUUUUGUGUAAAUGAUUUCCCUAUGAGAAACAGGCUUGGUACCACCAAAUAUCUUCUGAAAUUG